CCCGAGAGGCCUGGGGACAGUCACUAGCCCAGUGUCCUCGUCGUUUGCACAACGGGUACAGCUUGGAAGGAGGCCGCGGAUUGGGGCACAUCUUGGCCCAGUGCCCUUCUUGGCUGCACUUGAAGCAGGCCCCCGGAGGGGGGUUUUGGGGCCCCGAGCCCGCCGCCGGCCGCAGGGCCGCUACCAAGGCCUGGGUUUGCUGGUUUGGGAGGCUUGCCUGAAAUUCGGCCUUUUGCUUGAGCCUUGCCUUUCGGCUGGCCUCAGCAGUUUCUUUGCGGGCAUUGUAGACCUUAAAAGCCAUUUUUACCAGGUCUGGGAUAGGGGUCUGAGGGCCGUCCUCGGCCUUGGCCAACUUUUUUCGGAUAUCGGGGGCAGACUGGGAGAUAAAACGAUUGGCCAAGGUGGCCGCCCCGAUGGGGGACUCAGGGGACAGCCUGGUGUAUUGGACGAGGGCCUCGGUCAGCCGAUUAAGGAACAUGGCUGGGUUUUUGUCGGGCCCCUGGGUCACCUCAUCUAGUUUGAGGAGGUUUACCACCUUUGUGAGAACAAAUUAGCCGAAGCAACCCAGGGGUCCAACCGUACAACGGUCCCCCAGACCUUGAUGGCCUGAGCGUCGGAAAUCUCAGGUUCCCUGCUUUUGAACGUACAUCCAGUGCCGUGAGUGCAGGCUCAUCAGACUUGCCGAUGUUACUUCCCAUGCUGCCGAGGGAGAGCAGAGAGAAGAGUCACUGAGGACAACCACCAGAAAUCCUACCGGGAGCGGUGGCGGCCAGGAAGUUGGGUUUGUGGUAUGCUUUUGGAACUAUUUAUGUGCCUACACCGUUGCACGGAAGUUUUCUUGCUGGGAGCGGGCACCCUAAGGGUCUCCAGCCCGUUCCAUGACCCCCUUGUCCUGUCACGGGAGUCUUUAAGUGGCCCGCGCCCUAAUGGCCUUUAAGUGCCUGACGCGUGCCCACAGGGAAGAUUCUAGGCCAAGUCCUCAGUUCAGAAUGUUUGAAGGAGAGUUUCACCCGAUCGGGCUCUAGCUACUGAGGCUUACCCGUCGUGGGGCCUUCAAAGUCCACCAGAGAGUGGCCCUAGCCAGGACUUGUCAAUUGCCUCCACAACCAUUUGCCUGUUCACUGAAACUCCCGAAAAAAGAAACUAAGGAUAAAUCAGAAAAGAGAAGAAGAAGGAAAGUGAGCAGAGAGGGUUUCGCCAAUUGUCCUAUACGGGGGACUCACCUUGAAGUCUGGCUUUACCUGGGUGUCGUUUCUCUUCAGGGAAACGCCGCGCCGGGGCCCGUUUAGUGGCCAUUGGUCGCUUCUUCUUUCAGAGCCGCACGGUGUCACAGCCUCAGUCGGUCCACUUCGAGCCCCAUGUUGGGCACCAGUUUUUGCGGGGGGUGUGCCGCAAAAAGAGAGAGGCCGUGGAACUUCCCUCAUCAAGGCCGAGAGGUCCCGAGGAGAGGUGAGCCUGCUGUCCGCCAACCCAGCCCCCUGGCGAGCGAGAGACAAUCAGACGUGACAGGGGUUCUGUCUGAGCAGUUCCACUUUAUUGUCGUAAGCUCUUGGUUUAUAAAGGCAAGCGUGGGGGGGUUUGCAAGGGACUUUCCAUAGUUCUACUAAUCAAGUUAAAGGUCAGAUUACCAUGCGCUUACAUCAUGAUGGGUCUCUGGUGAUCACGUGUUGUCCACGAGCACGGAAAUCAAGAGGGCCAAUCAAAAAUUUUGACACAAUAUAGACCACGCCUUCGCUCCUCCCUGCAGGUGCCAUCUUAGCUUCUCACCACAAUGCGUGUGUUUUCUUUAAGCCCAAGCUUAGCAUGUUACUCUUAUGCCCAAGGGUUUCUCCACUUGGGGCCCCACAGGGGUGGAGGGGGUCGAGGAAGUAGCAGGGGCUGGAGUGUAAGGUGGGGGGGCCACCAGGUCUUCUGGAGGCACUGGGAGGGCAGAAGUUUCCUCCUCGGGCAUCCCUGGGUGGGCCGCUGAUGGCCUCCUUCGUGGUGUAGGGCUAGGGAGAGCCAUGGUUAGGAUAAUUUCAGAAGGGGAACAGUGGGUACAUAGGGUGGGAUGGGAGCGCAACGGCCAGAAAGCCUGUACGUAGGGUACCUCAGACCAUUUUCCCGUCCUCCGGCAGUAAUUAAGUCACGGAGGAUGUUAAAAUCGAAAGUUCCGGUUGGCGGCCACUGUGAGCCGUUAUCUAAAGAAUAUGGGGGCCAUGCCUCAGAACAGAGGAAGGCUAAGCGUUUGGAGCGAAUUUCUCCAGAGAUAUGUAGAGUUCUGAGGUUGGCGAGUACACAUUCUAGCGGUGUAGACCAGGGCUGGUCGGCCUUGGAGGCAGCUGCCCGCAUGGUGAAUAUGAAAUGAAGGUCCUGGACCAGUCGUUAGCGGGGCUGGGAGUGGUCCGGUCAGGCGUCCCCAAACGGGGCGUCAACCCAGCGAGGAGAGGGCCACUCAGCCAAGACAGACGUCUCCGAGUUGACUGGCACCAAGGAAUGGCAGGCCUGGCCUGUGGAGGGGUCUGGAUGCGGCUGCAAUUUAAAAGGACCGAGACACCCUAGGAAUAAUCGCCAUGGGAGCAACACCCCCCAGAACCCGACCAGUGGAACUUACCCCGUAUCCUGCCAGAUGGUUGGAUGGUCCCGGCGGGGUGGCAGGGUGACCUGGUCAGGUGCAGGCCAGACCCGAGGGGGCUGCAAAUCCCAGGAUGGGCCCUCGCCUCGAGCCCCAUGUUCGGCGCCUAAUGUUAGGUAAAAGAUGACCAGCACACCAAAAGGAGUGUCUAACAGGCUUUAAUGGUGAAGCGCUCCCGGGCGGGGUUCCCGGACCCGAACGAGGCAGGUCGAGGAAGUCCACGCCCGGACUGUGCUGGGGAGUGGUUUAUAUGCGUUCGUUGCGAGGGAUGGUCAGGCUAGAUCACCCAGAAAAGGUACAGUUAGUGGACGGGGGUUCGGACAGGUUGUUAGGUCGAGGUGUUGCGCGGGCUGAUAGGUCCUUCUACGUGGCUGGGGUGGGGCGGCUUAGCUGGCAAAAUGUGCUGUCAUUGGUUCCCUGGGAUCCGGGAGGAUCCUUCCGUUAGGGACUUUCUCACCUGCGGGAGAGAGGAGGGUGGCCCAUCAUGGCCCCAGGGUCCGGCCUUACACUAACAUUCCAGGUUCCUAUGAAGUGCUGCUCUUUACAGCACUGGACUUUGCUUCCAUCACCAGUCACGUCCACAGCCGGGUGGUGGUUUGCUUUCUCUUUGUCUCUUCAUUCUUUCUGGAGUUAGUUCUCCACUGAUCCCAGUAGCAUAUUGGGCACCUACCGACCUAGGGAGUUCAUCUUUCAGUGUCCUAUCUUUUUUCCUUUUCAUACUGUUCAUGGGGUUCUCAAGGGAAGAAUACUGAAGUGGUUAGCAAUUCCCUUCUCCAGUGGACCACAUUCUGUCAGAACUCUCUACCAUGACCCGUCUGACUUGAGUGGCCCUAUACGGCAUGGCUUAGUUUCAUUGAGUUAGACAAGGCUGUGGUCCAUGUGAUCAGAUUGGCUACUUUGCUGUGACUGGGUUCAGUCUGUCUGUCCUCUGAUGCCCUCUCUCAGCUCCUUCCAUCUUACUAGGAUUUCUCUUACUUUGGACCUGAGGUGUCUCUUCACGGCUGCUCCAGGAAAGCGCAGCCGCUGCUCCUUUCCGUGGAUGUGGGGUAUCUCCUCUCGACCGCCACACCUGACCUUGGACAUGGCCUAUCUCCUCUCGGCCUCCCGCUGCUGCAGUUUGCCUUGAUUCGUGGUGCUAACAAUCCAGGUUCCUAUUCAAUAUUGCUCUUUACAGCACUGGACUUUCCUUCCAUCACCAGUCACGUCCACAACCGGGUGUUGUUUUUGCUUUCCCUUUGUCUCUUCAUUCUUUCUGGAGUUAGUUCUCCACUGAUCUCACCUUUUGGGCACCUACCAACCUGGGAAGUUCAUCUUUCAGUGUCCUAUCUUUUUUCUUUUCUUACUGUUCAUAGGCUCUCAAGGCAAGAAUACUGAAGAAGUUUGCCAUUCCAUUCUCCAGUGGACACAUUUUAUGAGACCUUUCCACCAUGACCCGUUCGUUUUGGGUGGCCCUACGUGGCAUGGCUUAGUUUCACUGAGUUAGACAAGGCUGUGGUCCAUGAUAUCAGAUUGGCUACUUUGCUGUGAUUGUGGUUUCAGUCUGUCUGCCCUCUGAUGCCCUCUCUCAGCUCCUACCGUCUUACUUGGGUUUCGCUUACCUUGGAUGUGAGGUAUCUCUUCGCAGCUGCUCCAGCAAAGCGCUGUAGUUGCUCCUUACCUUGAACAUGGGAUUUCUCCUCUUGGCCGGCGCUCCGUACCUUGGAUGUGGGGUAUCUCAUCUCGGCUGCUCGCUGCUCAACUUGCCUUGAUUCAUGGACCUAACAUUCCAGGUUCUUGUGCAAUAUUGCUCUUUACAGCAUUGGACUUUCCUUCCAUCACCAGUCACAUCCACAACCGGAUGUUGUUCUUGCUUUGGCUCCAUCUCUUCAUUCUUUCUGCAGUUAGUUCUCCACUGAUCUCCAGUAGCAUAUUGGGCACCUACUGACCUGCGGAGUUCAUCUUUCAGUGUCCUUUCUGUUUUCCUUUUCAUACUGUUCCUGGGGCUCUCGUGCAAGAAUCCUGAAGUGGUUUGCCACCCUUCUCCAGUGGACCACGCUUUGUGAGCCCGCACCACCAUGAUCCGUCUGUCUUGGAUGGCCCCACAGGGCAUGGCUCACAGUUUCACUGAGCUAGACAAGGCUGUGGUCCAUGUGACCAAAUUGGUUAAUUUUCUUUGACUCUUAUUCUCUGUCUUCCCUCUGAUGGAGAAGGACUAGAGGAUUAUGGAAACCUCCCAGUAGGAAGUAUUGACUGAAGGGCAUACGGUAUCUUGUUCUGCUGGGCAGGGCCAUGCUCAGUAAAUCUUCAGUCCAAUUUUCCGUUGAAGGGCAGGGCCAUGUUCCCUCCCCAUUAUUUUACCUGAAGCCACACCGUGGUGGAGGCAGUGAAGCUAGUGGGGACCUCCUUAAACUGUCCCACGCACACACUGCUACACUCAGUGCCCCCAACCCUGCAGCAUGCCACCGCCGACCCACGCUUCCGCCAGGUAUUCCUGGACGCUCAUGGGCAAGUCCGGGACAGUCUCCUGUGGAUCACUGCUCCUUUCUCCCUGGGUGGUGCGCACAAGGUUCUGUUUGUGUCCUCCAAGGGUCUGUUUCCCAGCCCUGUGUAAGUUCUGGCAGCUCUAUGCUGGGGUUAAUGGCGACCUUUUCCAAGAGGGCUCAUGCCAUACCCAAGUCUCAGCACCCAGAGUCCCUGGCCCUGCAGCAGUCCACAGCUGACCCGUACCCCACAGGAGACACCCAAACACAGUUCUGGCUCAGUUUCUGGGUCCUGUUGUGCAGAAGGUCAUAUUUGAGCCCUGUGAGCCUCUCUGGCAGGUAUGGGGUUUGAUUCUAAAUGCGAUUUUGCCCCUCCUUUUGUCUUGCUGGAGCUUUUCCUUUGCCCUUGGACGUGGGAUAUUUCCUCAGAGUCGCUCCAACCCUGGCGCAGCUGCUGCUCCAGCCCCUACUGUCUUGCUGGUGCUUCUCUGCCCUUGGACAUGGGGUACCUCCUCACAGUCGCUUCAGUGCCAAGCAGCAGACGUGGGGUGUCUUUCUUACAGGAAGUCGAUAAUUGUGAUAUCCAAGGGCAGGGGGAUUUAUUAAACAUUCCUUUAAGAUUUAAAAGUCAUGCCAUCUGAAUCUUCCCAGAAGAUAGGGUUAAGUUCAGUAGUUUUUUAACAAGGUAUAUAAUGGUUGGUUCAUAAGGGAAAAGUUUGGGAUCUAGUUGCGACAGUUACCUGCCAAUCCUGGAAAACCUUGCAGUUGGUUUUGAGCUUUAGGGCGUUCAGGAUGCAGUGAAGCUGUCUAAAUGCAGUCCUUGUUUUGAGAUAAAAUGUCCUAAAUAGUGAACUUGAGUGUGAACAAACUGUCGUUUUUCCCAAGAGACUUUGUCGCUUUCAGACUAGAAGUUUAGCCAAUAGAGGCUAUGUUUUCUUGUGAGAACACUCGUGGAGGGGAGCAGAAAUAUAAGUCACCCUCAGGGAGCUUGAUACCAUCUAGAUCAGCCUUUAAAGUUUAUGAGAAAUCAGAAGGGCUUGCAGUGACCGUCUGGGGCAUUACUCUCCAGGUGUAUUGCUGUCCUUCCCAAGUAAAGGUGAAAAGAUACUGUCUGGCUUUAUCUACUGGGGUACUAAGGAAAGCAUUACAUAAAUCAGUCACAGAAAAAAUUGUUGUCGGUAGGGAUGAAAGCUGAUAAAGUGUGGGGCCGAGGACAGCAGUAUCAUAGUCAGCAAUAUUGAUUAUGUCUCAGAGAUCCCGGACAAACCUGCCUCGCUGGCUGUUUGGUUUCUUCACAGGUGAAAUAGGAGUGAUGUGGAGAAAGGUGCAAUGGAUAAUGAGAUCCUGGCCUUUACAGUCUCGUAUUCCUGAAUUAGUGUCUUAAAGGGCCUCUUUAUUUAUAAGAUACUAACUAAUUCUGGGGAAAGGUUUUGAGGGAUCUGUUUGGAUCUCCAUAGGAGGUGCACUGUGGAUUCUGCCAAUAUCAUUUGAGGAUUUUGUCCCUAAGGAGGGUGGUAGCUGAUCCAAUAGGGAUAUAUAUGAUUAGUGUUCUUUAAUUGGCCGUUAGAAACAGAGCAAAUUAAAGAUAUCGAAGGGGCAUUUGAUUCACCUAAUCGGCUCUUUUUGUUGCUGCUGCUGUCAAGUUCUAGAAUUAUUUCCACCUUUUGGGAGAAGAAUAUUCUUCUGUUAUGAUAUUUUUCUUAAAUCUCAACCAAAUAAAUGAAUAAGAGCAGAGGAGCUAAGGAGAAAAGGAUGGGUAUCUCCAAAAAGGCCUAAGCAGAGGGGGGUAAAUUUAGAGCUGGAAACCUGGUGAG
ensembl:lncRNA